GAUGAACGCUGGCGGCGUGCCUAAUACAUGCAAGUCGAGCGAACAGACGAGGAGCUUGCUCCUCUGACGUUAGCGGCGGACGGGUGAGUAACACGUGGAUAACCUACCUAUAAGACUGGGAUAACUUCGGGAAACCGGAGCUAAUACCGGAUAAUAUAUUGAACCGCAUGGUUCAAUAGUGAAAGACGGUUUUGCUGUCACUUAUAGAUGGAUCCGCGCCGCAUUAGCUAGUUGGUAAGGUAACGGCUUACCAAGGCAAGGAUGCGUAGCCGACCUGAGAGGGUGAUCGGCCACACUGGAACUGAGACACGGUCCAGACUCCUACGGGAGGCAGCAGUAGGGAAUCUUCCGCAAUGGGCGAAAGCCUGACGGAGCAACGCCGCGUGAGUGAUGAAGGUCUUCGGAUCGUAAAAAUCUGUUAUUAGGGAAGAACAAAUGUGUAAGUAACUAUGCACGUCUUGACGGUACCUAAUCAGAAAGCCACGGCUAACUACGUG
rnacentral:rRNA from 1 species